rnacentral:lncRNA from 1 species
AUAAAGUGGCAACAGUGGACAGCCUUGUCUGGAGCCUGGUCUUUGGAGAAAAGCAUUCAGUCUUUCAACAUGAAGUGUGAUUUUUCAAAUGCUCUGAUCUGAAGAAGCUGAGGAAAAGCAGAACAGUGAAAACCUACUUUUAGAGCUAUGAGUACUACUUUAGUUAACAGUGAAAAACCCUUCUGGAAAGUCACCGGAGGAAAAAGGACUAGAGAUGCGUUCUCCCUAUUGAAGGCUGAAAUGCUGACCUCCAGUGCUGACUUCACUGGACGGCUAACAAAGAAUUUAUUCAUCCUAAUACCUCACAGACACUGUCCCACAUCCACGUACAUCUAGUAGCCUGCCUGUGGCUGUAAGAUAAAGAACUGAUCUGUCUUGUAUUCAGUGAGACCGAGUCUGUUUGUUAAUGAAUCCUUGCAGAAAAGACUUGUGCUGCGUUCCUUAUAAAAGACUUCUUCAUAUAUUGGAAUGACACUGGUUUAGUAAGCAAAGUAUAUUGUCAUUUUGAUACACAGAUUGGAAAAUUUCUUUCAUGUCUCAUAUUCUCUUCUAUUUUUAUUUUAACCCCUACAUUUCCCUUGUGUUUUUUAACUCAUGCAUGUGCGCUCUUCAUACAAUUUUAAAAAGUAAUAAAAUCCAACAUAUAAAAAUGAUUAGUUUUAUUUUCUUUGUUUUGCAUUAUGUAUUUGGCCAA